ensembl:rRNA 5S_rRNA 5S ribosomal RNA
GCUUACGGCCACACCGCCUGGUUCACGCCUGAUCUCGGGAGCUAAGAUAGGUUGGGCCUGGUUAGUACUUGGAUGGGAGACCGCCUGGGAAUACCAGGUGCUGCAAGCU